CUCAAUAGCCGGAGUUCUCCGGCACACAAAAAAGUCACCCUGUUCAGGGUA
rnacentral:ncRNA from 1 species